UAUCUAAACUACUACUUGCCAUGGAGAAAGGGUCACUUACAAAUCUUCAGGGCAAAACACUAGAAGAGAUUGAAAUUGAAGAUGAGUUAAACUUUACUGAUUCUGAGCAAAGUGAAGACAGUGAUGCUGAGGAGAUACAUCCACAGACACAAACAGAAACAGAUAUUGACUCUGCCUUUGGAGGCCCAUCUCAAGAUUGUUGUAGGAAAGACAAAGAGCGGAGCAGGAGGGAAGAGCAUGAAC